UGGGAUAGUAAGACAUUCUCCGUCAACCUCUU
rnacentral:piRNA from 1 species